rnacentral:rRNA from 1 species
UGGGGAAUAUUGCACAAUGGGGGGAACCCUGAUGCAGCGACGCCGCGUGGGUGAAGGAGUCAUUCGUGACGUAAAGCCCUAUCGGCAGGGAAGAAGAAGUGCCCUGUGGGCACCUGGACGGUACCUGAGCAAGAAGCCCCGGCUAACUACGUGCCAGCAGCCGCGGUAAUACGUAGGGGGCGAGCGUUAUCCGGAUUCACUGGGUGUAAAGGGAGCGUAGACGGCGGCGCAAGCCGGGGGUGAAAGCCCAGGGCCCAACCCUGGGACUGCCCUAGGAACUGCGCGGCUGGAGUGCGGGAGGGGCAGGCGGAAUUCCUGGUGUAGCGGUGAAAUGCGUAGAUAUCAGGAGGAACACCGGCGGCGAAGGCGGCCUGCUGGACCGCGACUGACGUUGAGGCUCGAGAGCGUGGGGAGCGAACAGG